GUUUUUAUUGUCCAUUUCCUCUCGUCUCUUGAGGAAGUUUUUGAUAUAAUAUGUAUUUUGUCUACCAUGACAAUAUUUGAUUUUGCAUUUAAUUUUUUUAUUCUUUCAUGUACGGGUUAUAUGUGUUCCAGAUCAUAAUUUGUUUUUUUCUAGGAAGCAGAGAGUUGAACCUUGUUUCAUGAAUUUAUUUAGUGAAAGUAUGUUUUUGAUUGAUGUAAUUUAUUUAUAUAAAAAAAUUACUAAAAGGGAAUGAUUUCCUAUUGCAUUUUGUUUCUUUUUUGUUUUAGGUCCUCUAGCUUUUUUUUUUUUUGAGACGCAGUCUCACUCUGUCGCCCAGGUUGGAGUGCAGUGGUGAGAUCUUAGCUCACUGCAAGCUCCGCCUCCUUGGUUCAUGCCUUUCUCCUGUCUCAGAUUCCCCAGCAGCUGGGAAUACAGGCGCCCGCCACCACGCCCGGCUAUUUUUUCUUUUUAUUAUUUUUAGGAGAGACGGGGUUUCACCGUGUUAGCCAUGAUGGUCUCGAUCUCCUGACCUCGUUGAUCCACCCGCUUCGGCCUCGCAAAUUGUUAGGAUUACAGGCGUGAGCCACCGCCCCUGGCCGGUUCUGUAGCUAUUUUGUUCCUGUUUUUCUCUCUUGUUCUCUUUCUAAGUAUAUUAUUGAUUUUUGUAGUGACAUGUUUUAAUUCUUUUCUCACUACUCUCUGUGUGUGUGUGUCUUCGUGCGUGUAUACUAUAGGUAUUUCCUUUUUUUUUUUUUUUUUUUGACAUGGUCUUGCUCUGUCACCCAGGCUGGAGUGCAGUGGCACAAUCUCUGCUUACUGCAAGCUCUGCCUCUCAGGCUCAACUCAAACAAUCCUCCCACCAAAGCCUUCUGAGUAUCUGGGAUCACAGAGGCGCACCACUAUUCCUGAUAAUUUUUGUUAUUUUUCAUAGAGACAGGGUUUUGCCAUGUUGCCCAGAGUAGUCUCAAAACCCUAAGUACUAUAGGUAUUUUCUUUGUUGUUACUAUAGCUAUUACCAAGAAUAACUACUAUUGCAUACAAAACCCUGCCUCUUUAUGGCUCCCUAUGUGUUUUCUUGGUGUCACAAGUUAUAUCGUUUUGUAUUGUAAAUCUACUGGCAAAGAUUUACAGUCAUUUUUAAGUCUUUGUUAUCUCAAAUAUAUAGCAGAAUUAAAGUAUUCUGUGCAGCUUCAUUAUAAUAACAAAGAAUAUAGUUAGAGUUGGUAAAGUUUCAUUAUAUUUUAGGUCAUUUUCUCCCUCAAAUUUUGAGAGUUCUCGGCCACUGUUUGUUUCUUGAAAUAACUUUGCUGCUCUCUUUUCUCUCUUUUUAUUUUAGAAUUCCCAUUAUAAGUAUAUUGGCCAUUUUAAUGGUAUCCCAUAAGUCCCUUAGGCUCUCUUAAUUUUUAAAAUUAUUUUUAGCCUCCACAGCCUAUAAUUUCAAAUGACUUCUUAUCAAGCAUGAUGGAUUUUUUCCUGCUAGAUCAAACCUGUUGCUGGACCUUCUAAUGAAUCUCUAAAUUCAGGCACUUUUUACAAAGAUGCAUUCAGAUUGAUGAGGAGCUGUUUGAUGUGGCCAACUCCUCCCUCUCUUUGGAAAAAGAUCAGGUGCACUAAACCAACAACCACAGCCAGCACCGGGCUGUGCUGAGAGAAGCCACAUAGGAGUCUCUACAGACAGAAACCCGAGAAGACCGGGACAGACCCAGGACCCAGACUCAAAUAUGAAAAAUUUCUGGGCUUUGUCCUACGGCCUUCCCAUGAGUAACUCAUAGUCUUGUUUCAGUGGAAUCUGGCCUUCAUCAGUCUCAGUGGCAAUUGGUUAUGUGGAAAGUUUCUGUUCACACACUUGUGUGAAUAACAGUAAAGACUUUUGUGUUGUUUUCAUUUUACAUUAGGCCAUGAGUAUUUACGCCUGUGGCUGCAGUUUGUAUUAGUUUCCUGCCCCAGGUAUCUCCUGCAGAAUGCAGCUUCAGUCCUACCAGACCCUCAAAACUUAAAAGCUAACAGUAUUACUAGGGAGGAUUUCGCAGGAAAAUGGAGAAAGUGUUACACACAACAAAGGUUAAACUACUCUAUGCAUGUUUCUGCAAUGUAUUAUCUUAAGAACUCAUCUCUGUAGCCCAUCAGGGCAGGAGCUGGGCUCUCACCUUUUGAUAAUAUUCUAUAAGGGAGGUUCUUCCCCACAGCGUUUAGUCUUCCGAUGCUGGUGCAGCCUGACAUGAUGACAUUCUACUUUCAUGUCCGUCAUGCUGCAGGGAAUAUUCUGUGAGUGUCCUAAUAGGCUGGAAUCAUUUGCUAGGGUGAAGCCCAUCUUUGGUGCUCACUUUUCUGUUAUCUUAUAAUUAGCUUUAUUCUAAGCAAAUCCAUGUCUAUUUUAUUUAUCUGUUUACUUAUUUAUUUUUAUGUAUGGAAAAACACAUUUUUUUAAUAUACUUAUUUAUUUAGAGACAAGGUCUCCCUCUGUCACCCAAGCUGGAGCAUAGUGGUAGAGUGGUGUGAUCAUGGCUCAUUGAAGCCUCCAAGUCCUAGGCUCUAGUGAUUCUCUCACCUCAGCCUCCUGUGCCACCAUGGCCUGCUAGUUUAUUUUAAUUAUUUAUAAAGAAGGAAUCUCAUUAUGCUGCCCAGGCUGGUCUCAAACUCCUUGGCCCAAGCAAUUCCCUCAUCUCAGCCUCCCAAAGCACUGGGAUUAAAAACAUGAGCCACUGUACUGAGCUGUGCCUACUUCAAAAGACAGAAAAUAAAAAAAUAGAUAAAUCUUUGCCAAAUUUAAAAAUAAAACAAUAGUUUCCAGGUCUUAGAUAAAGACAAUUCUGUGUCACGAAGAAUGGCAAAAGGCUUAUUUAGCUGUUAAAAUGAUUUGCUUAUAUUUCAAAAAGCAGAGAAAAAAAGGUACAUAUAAAAGUUUACCAGGCCAGACAAGGUGGUUCAUACCUGUAAUCCCAACAUUUGGGGAGGCCAAGGCAGGAGGAUCUCUUGAAGCCAAAUAUUUGAGUCCAGUGCAGGCAAUAUGGUGAAAUUCUGUCACCAUAAAAAAAUAAAAUAAAAUAAAUAUGGCUGGGCAUGUUGGCUCACGUUUGUAAUCCCAGCACUUUGGGAGUCGGAGGCAGGUGGAUAAUGAUGUCAGGGGUUAGAGACCAGCCUGGCCAAAAUGGUGAAACCCUUUCUCUCCUAAAAAUAAUAACAAUAAAAAGUAAACCAGGCAUGGUGGUUUGCACCUGUAAUCCCAGCUACUCAAAAGGUUGAGGCAGGAGAAUUGCUUGAACCCGGGAGGCGGAAGUUGCAUUGAGCUAAGAUCAUGCCACUACACUCUAGCCUGGCCCACAGAGCAAGACACUGUCUUGAAAAAAAAAAACAAAAAUAAAUAAAGUUAGCCAGGCAUGGUGGUGCAUGCCUAUAGUCCUAGGUAAUUAAGAGGUUGACGCAGGAGGACUGCUCAAACCCAAAAGUUUAAUGUUAUAGUGAGCUAUGAUUAUGCCAUUGCACUUUAGACUAAGUAAAAGAGUAAGAUUCUGUCUCAAAAAAUUAAUAAUAAAUUUUUCUAAAUUACAUUGUUUAAGAAAAGGGAAAAGGAAAAACUAUAUUGUUUUUAUUUUCAAAUGGGAGAAUAGAGCCUCUCAUUUCUAACUUGUAUUUCCUUCUGCAGAAAGUUGGUCUAGGUCCAUGGUCUUGAACUAUUGGACAUCUGAAUUUUAGUAGGUGCUGGAUUCAGGCAACUGAAGGGUGGCCAUGGGCACACUCUGUGCAUAUAAAAAAAAGGUUUGAGGUGAACUAGAAGGUAAAAGAGGGGAAAGUGCUAUUAAGAACGCACAAUUGGGAGACAGUACAGGGUUGGUGGAAGGACUGGUUCAUGGUACAGAUACUGACCCAGGUGAAACUUUGUUCUGACUUAUUUCUAUGUUCAUGCAGGAAGGUGAGAUUGUGAUCAGGUGGCACAGAGACCUGGGAUGGUGAAAAAACCAGGUUGCCACUGCAGAUACGGUGUCUGAGGUAGAGCAUAUGCCAGGGGUCUUGUAGGCACGUGUGUGGGUUUUUGGUGGGAAAGUCUAUGAGGAAAGGUAGCGUGGCAACAAUCUUGAUGCCGAAGACCUGUCCUGGGAGGGGCUUGACCACAUCAACACGUAGUGCGUAUGUUCGGUGGGUGAAAAACAUGUGGUGGCCUCAGGUUGGCAGGAGGGAAGAGGGCAUCUGUUCUCAGAAAUUCUUCCCUCAAAGUCCUUGGUCCUUCUCACCCUGGGAGGAUGCCUGGAACCACAGGGCAGUGCAUGGUGUAGCAGGCUGGAGGGAAGAGGGCAUCUGUUCUCAGAAAUUCUUCCCUCAAAGUCCUUGGUCCUUCUCACCCUGGGAGGAUGCCUGGAACCACAGGGCAGUGCAUGGUGUAGCAGGCUGUGUGCAGAGCACAGCCUACCUUCCCCGAGACACCUGGAGUCUCUCUCCAGCAGAGGCCCCCACAUUGUCUUUCUUCUUACAACACUUUUGAUCCUGAAGGUGUAAAGUUCCCUGAAAACCCACUGAUUCUCCAACACUCAUUUGUUGCCCCAAAAUUUAAUUCUGACACAAGUUAGAGUUCGCAGAGACCCCACAAAUUCAGGGCUCAGUCUCACAUCACUGCUUUCACUGCAGAGGACAGUCACAUGUCCCGGAAGCCCUUCUAUAUUUCUGAGCUACCUCCUAUAAAUCUGAGACUCCCAUAAACCCCUUUUCAAGAUAAAUAAUUUGACAGAAUUACUUAAAAAAUCAACAAAUAACUAUAAUUAUAUUUACCACUUUAUUAUAAAAAUAUAACUCAGAAACAGCCAAAUGGAAGAGAUGUCUAGGGCAAGGAACAGUUGUGUGUGAAGGUAAUCCUGGAAAUAGCUAUAUUCAAAGAAAUUCCCCCAUUCUUUGUCUUCUCAAAGAAGAGCUUAGUGAAGAGAAACGUGCUUCCCAUUAUGACUUUGGGGAUGCUCCCCGCUGUUUUUUUUAAACUCUCAUGAAGAUGGACACAGAUUGCAAAUUCCUAUUUUUAAAAAUGAACAAUCAUUCAGUAAUUUAGUCUUCAGUGGUCAAAACAAAGUACUCGUUACAAAAAUUUUGCUUGUUUCUCUUCUUCCAACCAGCCCAUGAACUUUGACUCACCCACAGCCUCAGCAAACCUACAACCCUUAUUUAUACAUACCCUUCCUAAGAACAGGCUGACUUCAAGGUGAAACAUUACCUUAUCUGGGAUCAGAUUUUGCUACCGUCCAUCCUGUGCUUCCCUUCCUACCUUCUUUGUAAACUUGUUUUCUCCUCCCUAUGAAAUAAAGCCCUUUUCCACCUAAUCUUUGAGAUCCUCAAAGAUCUAAUCAUUUGUAGUUUUUCUUUGUUGCAAUGCUUCUUAGGUAUCUUCUUAGGCCAAGUCUAGAAACAGUCUUAGGACAAUAACAAUUCCAUUCUAGAAAGAAUCUCCCAACAUUUCUUCUAUCUCAAUCUCAACUGCAUCUGCCUGUGAACUUCCAGCUUACCAAGGCUCUAUAUCUUCUGGCAGUGACAAAGGCUCCUUCCAUGGUUGGUGUGAGCAGGCUUGGACACCUGCAGGGCAGACACCCAGGAAUAAUCAACUGGGCCUUAAGUGGUCCCCUUUUGCUGGAUCAAGGUGGGCCUUAGCUUUUAGUCAAUGGUCUAAGACCUCUACUUACCAGUUAGAGUCAUUCAGUUAGUUUUCAAUUUAAAAAAUACUUCAUGUUUGAAGAAUCCAGCAAAAAUUAUUCAAAUCUAAGGUAUAAAUGAGAGGAAAUUAUGGCCGGGCAUGGUGACUCAUGCCUGUAAUCCCUGCAUUUUGGGAGGCCGAGGCGGGCAGAUGACAUGAGGUCAGGAGUUUGAGACCAGCCUGAAUAACAUGAAGAAACCCCGUCUCUACUAAAAAUACAAAAUUAGCCGGGUGUGGCGGUGUAUGCCUGUAAUCCCAGCUACUCGGGAGGCCGAGGCAGGAGAAUCGCUUGAACCCGGGAAGUGGAGGUUGCAGUGAGCCGAGGUCGUGCCAUUGCACUCCAGGCUGGGCAACAAGAGUGAAACUACAUGUAAAAAAUAAAAUAAAAUAUAAAAGAACAUUAUAAGGGGCUUACAUCUUAUAACUCAUCAAGAAAAGCCAAAGUGUCUAUCUCUUUCGGAAAAUAAACACGUAAUUUAAUUAUGUUCAUAACAAAUCAUUUGGAUAAACAAUUAAUCAUAUGUGAACACUUCCAGGAGGUGUGAAGUCUCAGCUCCUAAAACUUAGCAUCACCCUCAGACACCCAGAUGGCAGCAUAUGGAACAGAGAUAUUGACUUGCACAAGUUCUCUGUUUUGAAAAAAAGAAUAACUGAUGGGAUAAAUUUAUGUAAUUUGACAAUUAAUCUACCUCACUUGCUUGUGGAUAUGUAUUCAUUUCCUACCACUGUAGUGGAAGAGAGACUAUCCCUGUCUUUACACCCGGUAGCAUUUCCAACAGUAAGCUGUGAGAUUCUCCUUGAAAUCACCUCUCAAACAAAUAAAAAACAGACCUGGGAAAUGUGCGACACUCAUUCUGCUGAAGAAAUCGUAUCAGCAUGCAGUUGCCUGGACUGCAGUGUGUCUCUAAGGAAUGGAAACUAACCGUUGGGGUAAGAAAAUCUUAAUGUCCUGAGGGGUUUGCUUUUAGUGCAAGGGUAUACCUGGGGAUUCCUUUCAGGUACAGUGCAUCCAACCACUCCACAGAAAGACUGCAUUCCCAUACCUUGGGCUGUUCCCUGAGAGGAGAUGACACAAGGGAUGCUAUUUACUAGACACUUUAAGAGUCUUGGCCACUGUUGGCAUCUUGGGGAAUCCUCAAACAGUUUUGAAACUCAAAACCAAAAAAUAACAGGAUGGCUGAGGAUGUAUUGCCCUGUGAAGUUUCCGAAAUGAAACCUGAACCCAAAGACAUUCUGAUGGGGUGUCUGUGCCAAGGGAAUAUUAAAGAAAGGGGCACAAAGGGUUUCUUUUUUGUGUCUUUCUCUUUUUUUUUCUUUCACUGUGGAGCGUCAGGGGAUUAUUAUCUGCUUUCAUCUCCUGUAAAAUGUCUACAAAUGAAAAAUAUUUUUUUAAGUGUCAUCGACUGCUUUUUGAAAAAAUGAAGAAUUAAACUAGUGUGUCUAAAAUGUACAAUAAAGAAGAGUUGAUAAUGUUGUGAGUUACACAAUUUAGCUAAUGUUGGUGAGUGUCAGGAAAGAACUGGAAAUUUAAAAUAUGACUGCAAGCCAGAGUUAGGCUAGGGUAACAGGGUGGUAGAUUUGAGGCCCUGUUUGCCACACAUUUGGAAAAUGCAUGAGAAAACUAAUUCUCUUUUGGAGUAUUAAAACAACUGAAAAAACUGGCCAUUUCAUUGAGGUGGCUCUAGUGUCCUGAAGUUCUUACUGGAGAGACAGGCAAAGACCUCCCUAGAUCCAAAAAGCUGCCCAUUCUUCUCCUGCUGUGCACCUGAUUAGAUACUUUCCACUCCAACACCCAUGAUUGGAUAGAGUUCAAUUCCCCAUCCCGCCCCCUCAGGCCAUGGGUGACAUAUGUGAUUUGACACUGGAUUGAAUAAAGCAAGAAUUAUAGGUUUUUCCUGGAUCCUUUCCUAGCAGGACUUCCUCCAUGCACUGGACCCUGGCGCUGCCUGUUAAAUACUUGCAUUUACAUUUGUGUGCAAGAUUAUUUUUAUUUAUGAAUAAUAUAUAUGUGUUAUUCAUACAUGGAAACAAUAUAAUGACAAUUAUUUUAAAAUUUCAGAUUUUUUGCUUUCCUGGCACAUCCAGGCUUUAGAGCAGGCAGCCUGAGAUUUCAAAAAUGAGGCAAUUCUCUAAGAAAUAAUAUGUGAGGGACAUGUGAAUUUUAAAUAUUCUAGUAGCUACAUUUUAGUAAAUACACCAGGCAUGCUUGCCUGUGCCUGUAGGUCGAACUGUUAGGGAGACUGAUGUAGGAGGAUCACUUGAGGCCAGGAGUUUGAGACCAGCCCAGGCAACAUAGAGAAAGCCAUCUGUACAAAAAAAAAAAGAAAAAGAAUUGAAAAAUUAGCCAGUCAUGGUGGUGCAUGCCUUCACUCCCAGCUACUGAGAAGGCUGGAGCUUGAAGAUCGCUUGAGCCUGGGAGUUCAAGGCUGCAAUGAGCCGUGAUCACCACUGCACUUCAGCCUCACUGACAGAGCAAAACCCUGUCUCAAGAAACUGAUCUCUGGAAAGGCAUUUUAAUUUUCUUCAAUGUAGCCAAACAGCUAAGUAUGUGUUGAAGCCAUCCUUUAAUUUUUAACAGGGCAAGAAUGUUUUCUAAGACCGCGAACUCCAGAUUUGCGAUGUGGCAAAUCCUGAAGCGUACAUGGAUAUCUCUCACAGCUAAAGUAUCCCUCACCCCUACCCAGUGCUUCUUACCCCUGGCGCGAGAGAAUCACCUGCAGGGAGGAAAACUUUCAAAAUCCCUUAAACCCAAGUUGUAACCGAUCAAUUAAAUCAGAAUCCUUGCAGUUGGAUCUGAAAAAAAUACGGUUUAAAGUUUUGCAGGUGAUUACAAUGUGUAGGCAAGCCACAAAACCAUGGGUUUAACCAGCAACCUUUGUUAGAAAUGAUUUCUUAAAUGAAUGUAAAAACGUUUGCUGCUGAAUUGUGACCUUUCAAUUUUACUUGCUUUUCCUACAAAGUAUAUUUUGCAGACCCAGGCAGUGCUGCUUGCUCUGUUCUUGAUUCACCGAUUGCCUUGUGUGCUCAGUGCAUCCUGUGCACGGGUCACUGUGCUGUGUGCCCUGGAAUGGGUGAGCAUCAUUCUUCGCGGAGAACCUUGCUGAAAACAAAGCUGCAUUCCAAAAAGUUAAAACCAUGCUACUUACCGUUUUGAGGUUAAAAUUAAAAGACCUAGGGGACUCAUCCAAAAGUUAAAACAUAAAUAAAUAACUUGGAACAUUAAUAUACACCUGAUGAUGUCCUGAGUGAACAUGCUCCACUUUAAAACAAAACAAAACAUUACUAUUAUUCUAAAAUAUUAUUUUAGGAUUGUUAUGCAAAUAUGUACAAUUUAAAUUUUCAUUGAUGUGUAACAUGCAUACCGCAAUAUAGGCACAAAACGUUUAUGGAAUGCUUGACGAAUUAUUACAAAAUAAAUACGCUUGUGUAUCAAAGAAUCAGAUUUGUUCAUGCCCUUGACACUUUCUCCUUCCAAAAGGUAACCAAGACCUUAAGAGAUAAGUGCAGAUAAACUUUGUCAUUUUGUACAAGUGUUUUAUUACAGAACAUUAAAAACGUAUGCACGAUACAAAAAAAGUAUAACAGACCAGUCAACCAGCUUUAACAGCUACUAGUCAUGUGUCAUUUUUGUGUCACUUAUACUUCCAGCCAUUCCCCCACCAAUUUCAUUUUUUUAGGCUUUUUGGAUAAAAUGUAUAUUCAUUGCAAGGUACAAUGUGAACUGUGAAUAGUAGAGAGAUGGGGUUUCACAAUGUUGGCCAAGCUGACCUUGAACUCCUCACCUCAGGUGAUCCAACCUCAGGUGAUACAACCGCUUCAGCUUCCCAAAGUGCUGGGAUUACAGGCAUGAGCCAAUAUACUCGGCCUGAGAAUUCAUAUUUCUAACAAAGUACAAAUCCAUAGGUCACAUGACAACUGCAAUAUCUAUCUACAGUAGAUACAGUUUGAUGAAUAAAAUGAAAGGCAAUUGACCUAAGGUGAAAAAAAAAACAAAAAACAAUCAAAGCAUGGGUAUUAUGUGCUAUCUGUAGGAGCAUUUGGUUAAGAAUAACAAGCAAACCAAUUUUAUCGUUUUAAUAACCGAAAUUGUCAAAAUUUCUAGUUUUUCUUUCAUAGAAAUGCUCUCUGCAAGAAAAAAUUUUCAUAUAGUAACAGCAAAAAUGACAACCAUUUGCAAGUAAAUGUCUUAGGAAAUUAAGUAGCAGAUACCAACCUCAUGACCUUCAGAUAGUUAACCCAAACUCAAUCAUUUACAUAGCAAGUUCAGAUAAUUUUCAUAGCUUCCUAUUAAAAUUAUAUUUGAAUGCGCUUACAAAUUGUGACUGUUUUCACAUAAAGUUCACUAACUAAUAUUUUGUAUAUGACAUAUGAUAAAUUCCACUUCAAGUCACCUUACAUUUACUUAAUUUUAUUAGGCAGUGUCUGUCUACCACCCAGUAAUACGUGGGGAUUCUCCCUCCAUUUGCACAGACAUCAUAGCUGGGGAACAGGGAUUCACAAGACCCAGGCUGUUCCCUACAUAUUUUUCCUCCUCAGACAUCAGUUCAUCAGUAAAUCAAGUCAGGUGAGAGUGGAGGCCAUGUAUUCCGUAUUCUUGGGCACUCUCCUCCAAGGAGGAAAAGGCCAGGAGGUCCUGUUACAGGAUGCACUCUGAGAGGCCGGGCUCCCUAAGGUGUGAGAGUUCUAACCAGCAGAUGUAGACUUUUCAGGAGUGAGGAAUGAGGCAGGUAUUCCAAACCUGGAGCUUCAUCACCUUUUGUUUCAUCUCAAGACAAUUCUGAGGGGCUGUUUUGGAACGUGUCUGGAAGGUGAAUGUUGAAGAAGAGUGUGAGCUUUGAUGUGACUCAGAUAAGAUCUUUCAUGGGGAGGCAGGAAUUUAAUGCCCAGAAUCUGGGCUGGUGUCUUUGAGGUCAGUGGGUUGCCUUUUUGUAUCCAAGUCCAUUGUUACUAGGUUGGAGGCUGGAGAUUCUAAAUGGCUUCCAGACCGCCUCUAUGAUUCUCUUUUGGAGAUGGGGUCUGAAAAAGACAAUGUCAGUAUUUUUGGGAAAUUCUGGAAAGUCUGUUUGGAAACCUGUGAAGACCUCUUGCCUAGUGCCUAAAUGCUCAAUGUGCAGCUCUAGCCAUGUAGAUGUUUGGUAGGUAUAGAGCUGGGUUUGCAUUUAUAUCAGCAAAACCUAUGGCAGAGUUGAAGAAGUAAUCAGGACAAAGUGUCUUGGUCGCAGGCCAGAGAACCUCUUAAAAGCAAACUUCUAGCCUGCUGACUCUUGGCAAUGAGUGUUGGGUCCUGGCCAAAGUGCCUUGAAUGCAGCAUGAAGCCAAUCCAUAAAUCCAACUUCUAAUGGAGAAAUGUUAAUACUUUUUCAGUUUGAAUCAAUCAGGGUGAAAUUACCAUGCUAUUGGUUUGUUUACUUUUUAUUAUUUCAUAUA